UAUCUUCCCAAACGCCGUUUCCCCCAAACUCGAAGCCGAUCCUUCCUCCUCUCCUUCCUUCCCCGACCUCCCUUCCUUCUCCGAUCUCCCUCGCAGACGAGCGACGAUCGGCGAUUCCUCCUUCCCUUCUCGGUGUCGCCGGCGCAAAGCAACCACCGAAGCUUUAGGAGGGAGCUAGUUGCUGAUCCUCCGUCUUCUCCCUCUCGAUUUCUCUCUCCCGAACGAUCCGACGCGACCCCGACGUCGAUGUUUCCUCGACAACCUCGGCCUCACUGCGUCGCCUGAGGAUUGUCGUCCGAAUCUUGAAGGUGCUGGCGCUGUCCAAGCCUUCCCUGGUGGAGUGAUCUCCUUCUCGGCCAUUGUUGCGCUCGAUUUGGUGGGAUCUGAUCUAGGGCACAGCGAGCUCCACACUUGCUGGAUCAGAUCGGAACAACACCAUUGGAGGCAAUCGAUCAAGGAGGAGGCAUUGGAUUAGCAUAUUGGUGGAUUUUCUUCUAUGUCGAUCACUACUCUCUUUCCAGCUGCUGUUUAGGUUUUGGCUAAAGGAUUGGGGUCUAUUAAGGGUUUUUGUAGUUCCUGGACAGUGGGUAUCCUUUAUAGCUUCUUGGCAGUGAGUUGUAGGGUUGCCGAGCUACUGGAAUUGCUGUCAUACUUCAAGGUUAGUGCUUUUCUAGUGUUGUACUUGGGUAUCCUAUUCGUAUGAUGCUAAAUUGGAGUUUCUAUGGGUUGUGAGACUUUGUUCUGCUUAG